AUUGAACGCUGGCGGCAGGCCUAACACAUGCAAGUCGAGCGAGCGGCGGACGGGUGAGUAAUGUCUGGGAAACUGCCUGAUGGAGGAGGAUAACUACUGGAAACGGUAUCUAAUACCGCCUACCAUCUGAUGUGACCAGAUGGGAUUAGCUAGUAGGUGGGGUAACGGCUCACCUAGGCGACGGUCCCUAGCUGGGCGGAGAGGAUGAGCAGCCACACUGGAACUGAGACACGGGCCAGACUCCUACGGGAGGCAGCAGUGGGGAAUAUUGCACAAUGGGCGCAAGCCUGAUGCAGCCAUGCCGCGUGUGUGAAGAAGGCCUUCGGGUUGUAAAGCACUUUCAGCGGGGAGGCGUUACCCGCAGAAGAAGCACCGGCUAACUCCGUGCCAGCAGCCGCGGUAAUUC
rnacentral:rRNA from 1 species